rnacentral:lncRNA from 1 species
CUGUUCUGGUGUUGUUGACAGUAAUCGGUGGGUAAAUACCUCCUGAUCUGGGAUGGUCACUGCGACACACAAAGCGGAGACGGCGUCACGGCGACACUGUUGAAGCUGGUUGCUUUACGUCGUGUGUCUAUGUGUAUCCGUGUGUGUGUGUGUGUGUGUGUGUGUGUGUGUGGUGUGCCACGGAAUUAACAGCCGAUCGACACCACCAGAAAGGGAGAAUGUAUAGUGUGGUUAUGUGUGUGCAUGUGUGCGUUAUGUGUGUGUAUAUGUGUGUGUGUGAUAGAGGUGUGAUGUAGAGUUUGGUGGCGUGCAGUGGUGUGGACGGGUUUGGAGUGGCUUAGUAACGAGUGCCAUGAUGCUGGUGGUGGUGGUGGUGGAAGUUAAAGUAGAUAAUGAUGAUGAUGAUGAUGAUUAAGAAGAAGAGCAAUAGGAAUGAAUGAAGAUGACGAUAAGACGAAAACGAUGGAGAAGAAGCAAAAGGAAGAGAGAAUGAAGACGAACGAGAUGAAGAGAAGAAAAGAUGAAGAAAAAACAAAAUUAAAAAUGAAUGAAUGAAUGAAAAGAAGUAUAAAAUUAAUGAAAGAAUGAAUGAAUCGAUGAAGAAAUAACUGACUGAAUGAAAAAGAGAAGGAAAAAACCUGAAGGUCCUUGUAAAACCAUAAAUAUAUAAUAAUAAUAACUGAAGGUAAAUAAAUAAAUGUACGCGAGCAAGCAGCCUCCUCGCCGCUUCUUUGUUGUGUUUCGUGUCUAACAACGUAAGCAAAAAAAGGUGACAGCGGAAAUACAAUGAAUAUAAGGGGAUGAUUAAAAGGUAGCCUCGGAGGAAGAGGAGGGGAAACGGACCGACGCCACCAUUGCCAACAUCAUCAUGAUAGUAUGGUUUCCCGCCAUCAUCAUCAUCAUCAUCGCCAUCGACGUAUCAACGUCAUCGUUUGCCUCUGGUGUAGUAUCAACAAUAGUGAUGAUGACAAUGACAAUAAUAAUGAUAGUAGUAGUAGUAGUAGUAAUAAUAAUAAUAAUAGCAAUGUUGUUAUCUAGACUUGAAUCCCAAGAUAUUUUUGCAAGACAGAGAGGGUGGAUGAUGUGUACGUGAGUGUGACAGAGAAAGAGUAAGGUGUGUGUGUGAGAGAAAGAGAGAGAGACAAAGUAAGGUGUGUGUGUGUGAGAGAGAGACAGAGUAAGGUGUGUGUGUGUGAGAAAGAGAGAGAGAAAGAGUAAGGUGUGUGAAAAAGAGAGAGAGAGAAAGUAAAGUGUGUGUGUGUGAGAAAGAGAGAGAGACAGAGUAAGGUGUGUGUGAGAAAGAGAGAGAGAAAGAGUAAGGUGUGUGAGAAAGAGAGAGAGAAAGAGUAAAGUGUGUGUGUGUGAGAAAGAGAGAAGAGUAAGGUGUGUGUGUGAGAAACAGAGAGAGAAAGAGUAAGGUGUGUGUGAGAGAGAGAGAGAAAGAACGGGGUAAAAAGACCAAUGUGUGUGUGUAAGAAAGAGAAAAAGAGAGGGAGAGAGGUAGCAAAGUGUAUGUGCCAGAGAAAGAGAGAGAAAGAACAAGGUGUACGUGUGUGAGAGAGAGAGAGAGAGAAAGAGAGAUGAAAGUGUAAAUGUGUAAGAGAGAGAGAGAAAGAGCAAAAUGUACGUGUGCGUGUGAGAGAGAGAGAAAGUGAGAGAGCAAGGUGUAUGUGUAAACGUGUGUGUAUAAGAGAAAGAGAGAGCAAGGGGUAUAAUGUAAAUGUGUGUAAGUGAUAAAGACAGACAGCAAGGUGUGUGUGUGUGGAUUUGAGAUUUUGUUUGUUUCUACGACCUCAUCAGUUUUGUUCCCAUAACUCUAACUGAAACCUUGCUUAAACCAUUACAAAAAUUGGUUUUAAAAUCCACCCGUAAUACACACACACACACUGCGAAACGUGCUCCUCGUUUCUUACUAAGAUAUGAAACCGGGUACAGCUUGAUAAACAACACUACACCUUCCUUACAAACGAGACCGCCGCCACCAUCACUUGAAGAAGAAGA